CCGAGAAUAUUCGACAAUGGGCGAAAGCCUGAUCGAGCGACACCGCGUGAUGGAUGAAGUCCCUCUGGGACGUAAACAUCUUUUAUGAGGGAGAAAGUUUAUUGAUAGUACCUCACGAAUAAGGGGUUGCUAAACUCGUGCCAGCAGCAGCGGUAAUACGAGUGCCCCGAGCGUUAUCCGGAAUCAUUGGGCGUAAAGGGUGUGUAGGUGGCAGUGUUAGUCGGUUGUUAAAACCUGGGGCUCAACCCCAGAUCCGCGAUCGAAACGGCACAGCUAGAGGAUGGCAGGGAUGUAUGGAACUCAUGGAGUAGGGGUGAAAUCCGUUGAUAUCAUGGGGAACACCAAAAGCGAAGGCAGUACAUUGGGCCACUCCUGACACUGAAACACGAAAGCGUGGGUAGCGAAUGGGAUUAGAUACCCCUGUAGUCCCUGAGCGGGCUGGCAAGGCGCAU
rnacentral:rRNA from 1 species